CAGGGCGAAAUUUGUCACCAUGAGACUGAAGGAGGACGGAAGUCAUGCAGCGGUCUCUCUCAUCCACAGCCUGAACAAAAGGUUUGUCAGGGUUUGGGAGAGCAAGAGUGGGAGAUUGCUGCAGCGUCUUCUUCAGUGUGACAAAUGCCUCGUCUGCCUCUGGAGUCCAAACGACACGUUCGUGAGGAGUGAUUGAUUUGCCGUGGUACAGAGCACCUAAGGGGGCUUCAAGAAGAGCAAAGUCAGGAAUGAACGUUCUACAGAAAGAGCAUGUGCCGAUGAAUGACAUGAGUUGUUUCUUCGUCAAGGGUUUUGGCAUGUUAACAAUAGCUUCUACUCUCUAAUCCGACAGGGAUUUGCCAUCUUUGGUGACGACAUGACCCAGAAACAUGACAGUUUGUUGUACAAAGUGUAGUUUGCUCAGGCUGACUUUAUGGCCCUCGUGAGCCAGAUGUCUCAGCAAAGCGAUCGUGUUUGUUUCACAUUGCUCAUGUGUGGGACUGGCAAUUAGUAGAUCAUCAACAUACUGCAAGAGAGCUGAACCCGGAGUGAGGAUGAGUGGUUCAAGACUGUUCCUGAGAGCCUGAUUGUAUAAUGAUUGGCUACUGUGAUGGAGACUCACAGUAGCCUUGACAUAGGCGUGUGAACGUGUAGGCCUUGUUAUCAAAAUUAAAAGUACUGGCUGUCCUUGUGGACAGGAACACUAAAAAAAGUGUUGGAUAAAUCUACAACUGAAAACCACAGUGCAUUAGGCUGAAUUUGGUAAAGCAGUAUGUAUGGGUUGGGAAAAAUAAGUGAUCGGAAAAUGAUGGUGUCAUUCACAGCCUUUAAAUCCUGCACAAAUCGCCACUCAGUAGGUUGAUCUUUGUCUCUGAUCUUCUUAACUGGGAACAGUGGAGUGCUGACCGGUGAAUCAGGGCAGGGAACAAUUACACCAGCUUGCAAAAAGGAUUCAAAAACAGGACGUAUCCCCUCCACUGCUUCCUCUCUGAGUGGAUAUUGUUGUUUACAUGGUCUAUAAUCAGAUUUUGUAGUGAUUUUGACUGGAUCACAAUUUCUGAUGAGGCCCACAUCAUAUUUGUCUUUUGCCCACAGUGCUUCAGGCAGAUCUGAAAGUGAAAGGAGAAACAUCAGAGGGGCUGGACAACAUUGCAUAAGAAUGAAGGUGAUUUUCAGUCACAACAGAUGAGCGUGUGGCUGGAAAACAGAAGAUUGGAGACAUUUUUAGAUCAAAUGCACUCAGACUGGGUGAAUACAUUACGUCAGGCGUGGUUGUGGGUUGCCAAUCAACGACAGCCUGGCAUGAUCUGACAAAUGGGCCUAAGUCUUGCCACUGGUCAUCAUGGGACUUGGAGAGCGAGAUGUGAGGGCUGGAAUUCGAGACGCGAAAACAGUGCCAACUGCUGGUCAGUGAGUGAGACGGCAGCUGCAUUUCUGGAACCAGACCAAAAAAUAUUGGACACUUUAAGAGAAUAAUCAAAAAAAGGCAAAAACAGAGAUUCAUAAACAUGAUCUGCUGUGUCUGUCACGUGUGAGGUGUAAUGCAAUGAAUCAGUGUGCAUGAAAUCAGAAAAAGGAGUGACAAGAGAGUGCGACGUGGAGAGCAGCUCAGUGGAGGCAUUUAUAGGAAGUUGCCACUGAUGCAAACAGCUGCUCAUGUGUGGUCUGUGACAUUGUGAAUGUGGUUGAAGAAGAAUUGUGUGUAACCAUCACUCCUUCAGAGGAGGAUACUAAGUUGAGGCCUAACACAAUCAUCAAAUCUCUUCCUAAUAGAUUAAUUGGGCAAAAGGGAGACAAAAGAAAACCACGUUCAAACUUUAUGGGAUGUUGUAGAUGUUUGUUAAACUGACCGGCGCAUUUUGAGAGGUUUUGUGAAAUUUUAUUUUACAGUGGCACAGCUGGCACCUUGAGAGAAUAUAAAGCGACCACUCAUUUCAGGGGAUGUGGGAAAGUCUGACAUCCUAACCACAGAAUAACCUGCACCAGAGUCAACCAUGAAAUUAAAUUCCUGACCUUUAACACACAGUUCGAGUUGAGGCAUUUUCUUAAAAGCAUCACUAUUGUACUUAACAUGAGUACCACAAAGUUGUGUGUGAUCUGGUGUGUGUGUGUGUGUGUGCGGUUAAUUUGGCAACUAUGCUUCAUUGCUGUAGCUUGUUUGUAUUUGUUCGGUUAGUUUGGCAAGCGAAUACUUCAUUGCCUUAGCGUCUGUGUGUGUGUGUGUGAUUCACUUUACUUUCUUUGAUCCUCGGCGGGUUGAUUGGUCAUCUCCUCUCCGUCUGCCAUCUCCUCCCUUUCUCUAUUUGAGUCGGCAGUGAAAGUUUUUGUCUCCCCCUCCUCUCGCUGCUGGGGGCAGUUCUUCGCCCAGUGUCCUUUAUCUCUGCAGAUCAAACACUCAUCUCUGGCAAUUGGGGGUCGACGAGAGAAGCCUCUCCCCAGACCACGUCCCCGCCCGCGCCCCCCACUUCCUGGUUCAGUGAAAUUGGCUCUGCUAUCAGUGUUAUCUUGUCUGCUUGGCCUUGACAAUGCUGAAACAGCCUGCAUCAUGGUUAGCUGUGCUUUCUGGAGCUGUUUAUCCUUUUUUUGUUUUUCUCUGUCUUUUGUUUGUUUGUGUUGGCGUUCAGCAUGUUCAGCAUGACGUCUGAUCUCUGUAAAGCGAGCAUCCUCAAGCCCGAUGCAGGUGUGGCCUACGUCUGCCCGUAGUGGGGGAAGCAGACCAUUCAGGAAGGCCUGUUUUAGAUGUGUUUCAUAAGCCCCUGGCUCAUUGCCAAGGUUGUCAGGUAUGGGGAUGCCGCUGUGUUGAUUAAACAGGACAGUCAGACGUGUGAGGAAAUCUCCUACGGUUUCGCCUGGUUGUUGUUUGCACCCCGUUAUUUUGGACAUGUCAAUUUUAUGGGGAAGGCGGUCUUCAGGGCAUUGAGGAGUGUGUUGAGAGCGUUGACAUAUGCGGCAUUACCCGCAUCCUCCCAGUCUGGUGAAGUCAGUGGGGCCUAAUUUCUUCAUUAGAAGUCGUCUGAUUUCAGACACUGUUGGCAUGAAUUCAUGGCAAAAUGUUUCAAACUGGAGGGCAAAUGCUGUGCCAGAGUUCCGUGGGUCUGGGAGGUGAUUUAGUGCUUCGGUCAUGUCAGCGUCAGUCCAGGGGCGGUAGACGAGGGCUGGGCCGGUUGGUUCCAUGAUGUUUAUCAUAGGAGCAGUUAUCACUUCUCCCUGCUGUUGACGAGUUCUAUUUGCAAUGGGAGAGAAGAAAUUGGAGCCCAGAGAUGAGGAAGAGGUGACGUCAUCAUUCAGUCCUCCAGCUGCCCCGCCUCCAUAGACUGGGAGAGUGGUGGGUGGAGGCUGGGAUGGGCCUGAUCGUUGAUCGGUGGAGUCUGGUAUCUGCACAUUAUAUGGAGGGGGGUUUUGUCGUUGGGGAGGAGGGAGGCAGGCGUCGAGGAGAGGCCCUUUUAAACCCUGUAAGGGGAGGAUAAAGAGAAAUAUAAGAUGACCAAAGUGAGGUCUUUGGAUCCCUGUGAAGAAGGUCCAGAACCCCAGGCUUUUCGGCCCUCUCUUCUCUUCAGUGUUGGAGGUAGAGGCAGAAGGUUUCCCUCCCGGGUGAUCAGCAAUCGAAGACUUCUCGGGUCCAGCCUGCUCGUGACGCCAAGAUUGUGAUGGAAAUUUAUCUUGAGAUUUGAAAUAAUGAAAUUCUCAGACUGGAGUUGCCAUUGAGUCUUUAUAAAAGUAAGCUCUGCAGAGUUACACAACAAGCACGGGUGAUCAGAAUGAAACAACUGGCUGCAACUUCCAAAAAAGCCAGGACUUACAUCAAGAGGCGUUUCACAUGACAAUAUGUAAAGAAAUGAAAAAGACAUGACAGAACUAAUACAAAGAGGUGCUUCAUAAAACUUAACAUGAAAAAGAUAUGAAAUCCUCCUCUGUGUCUAUCUGCUGUGUCCGGCCGCUGCAGCAAACUCCCUGUUUGCCAAGGCCACAGCAGUGAGAAACCUGGUCAGUUGAAUUUUCCCUUACAAUAUAUUAAUCAAGUAAUAAAAUACAAUCGUUCGAUUAAUCAUACAAAUUAUUGUAAUUUUAAUUGAUAAAAAACAAAAAUAAUAGGUGCAGCCCUAGUCAACAGUGAGUGCUCCUAUAAGCUGCACUGGGCAUUUGCUUUUGGGCCGAACAUUUCAUAGCAAUUUUCAAUUAUUCGUAAUUUUCAUAAAGUUGGUGCCACACCAUAAUAUGAUGGUGGAAUGACAAAUGGUAUUCUAUUCAAUAUGAAUAGCACAUGGAAAAUCUCUGUCAAUAAUAAAUUCUCACACUGACCACGAGCAUAGGUUGAUGGUAGCUGACAAUUUCUAAAUCAUGUCUAAGCUUUUGGAUUUCAUAAUUAGCUUGUUGAGCUGUGGGGUUUGGUCAUUCAUAAGUGUCCCGUAUUAGGGAACAUACGAAUGUGGCUGAUCUUCUACGCUUCUUUUGGAAAUGAAUGAGAGUGGCAUGGGUGAAAUAAAUCAUACCCAAACCUUAGCGCAGAGCUGGAGGAGUACUGAUACCAAAAGAGGGGGAAUCCUCAAUCAUCAGCCAAUUUUGACCCAUCAGUCUUCUCAAUGUUCCUCUUUAGUGUCAUAACCCAAAGGCUGACAAGCUAUCUGAUAAAAAACACUAAGUGAUGGAUACAAAGUUCCAAAAAGCUGGAAUUAAUAAAUGGUGUCAGAUCA